rnacentral:tRNA from 4 species
GGUUCAGUAGCUCAGUUGGUAGAGCACUUGAUUGAAGCUCAAGGUGUCGGCAGUUCGAUUCUGUCCUGAACCA